GCUGCCCAGGCCCGGAGGGGCGCCCCCCAAAGGGGCCCCAUGGGGCCAGGGAUCCGCGCCGCCGCCGGGAUGCUGCUGCUUCUUCUUCAUCGCCUGCUCCGCCGCCUCGCACAGCCUGCUCGUGCCAGGAAAAGCGACCUCUUCGGGGCCCCGCUGACUUCCCUCUCGUAAACAGUCACCGGCAGGAAGAAGCACGACUGACUUUACAUUUUUUGAAGUUCAGAAACUUGAUUCUCCUUAUAUAUCCCGUGCAAGCUGCUUACACAAGGCCGGCAAAAGUGCUUGUCUGGUGAAACCCAGGUUCAGUUAAACCCAAUCAUGCAACUGGACCGGAUUGCAGAAAAACACACAGCGCUGGCUGGAAUGUGGACAUGGAAGGGGCUCAGCUUCCAUCAUGCACAUGAGGACAGUACUCCGAGGAAUAUCAGAGAAACUGGUGAAAGGAACCUAGGAACCUGAAUGCUCUUAAGAAGCGAGCCAUCUGUCUGCUGUGGACUGCCUACUGCCAUUUGGACUCCCUUGUGAAAAAAAUAAAGUAAAUUCUCUCUACAAU